rnacentral:rRNA from 1 species
AGAGUUUGAUCCUGGCUCAGGAUGAACGCUGGCGGCGUGCCUAAUACAUGCAAGUCGGACGCAAUACUUCGGUAUUGAGUGGCGAACGGGUGAGUAAUACAUAAGCAACCUGGCCAUGACAGGGGGAUAACUGACGGAAACGACAGCUAAGACCGCAUAGGUAUAUGGAAAGCAUUUUGGAUAUAUUAAAGGUGCUAAGGCACCGGUGAUGGAUGGGCUUAUGGGGCAUUAGCUAGUUGGUGGGGUAGAGGCCUACCAAGGCGACGAUGCAUAGCCGGCCUGAGAGGGUGAACGGCCACACUGGGACUGAGACACGGCCCAGACUCCUGCGGGAGGCAGCAGUAGGGAAUUUUCGGCAAUGGGGGGAACCCUGACCGAGCAACGCCGCGUGAGUGAAGAAGGUCUUCGGAUUGUAAAGCUCUGUUGUAAGGGAAGAACGCCAGGCAGAAGAUGCCUGAGUGACGGUACCUUACCAGAAAGCCACGGCUAACUACGUGCCAGCAGCCGCGGUAAUACGUAGGUGGCGAGCGUUAUCCGGAAUUAUUGGGCGUAAAGGGUGCGUAGGCGGCUGAUUAAGUUCGUGGUUAAAGCGUGGGGCUCAACCCCAUAAAGCCACGGAUACUGGUCAGCUAGAGUACUGGAGAGGGCAGUGGAAUUCCAUGUGUAGCGGUAAAAUGCGUAGAUAUAUGGAGGAACACCGGUGGCGAAGGCGGCUGCCUGGACAGAGACUGACGCUGAGGCACGAAAGCGUGGGGAGCAAAUAGGAUUAGAUACCCUAGUAGUCCACGCCGUAAACGAUGAAUGCUUGGUAUCGGGGCAACCCGGUGCCGAAACCAACGCGAUAAGCAUUCCGCCUGUGGAGUAUGCACGCAAGUGUGAAACAUAAAGGAAUUGACGGGGGCCCGCACAAGCGGUGGAGUAUGUGGUUUAAUUCGACGCAACGCGAAGAACCUUACCAGGCCUUGACAUCCCUUGCAAAGUUACAGAGAUGUAAUAGAGGUUAUCAGGGUGACAGGUGGUGCAUGGUUGUCGUCAGCUCGUGUCGUGAGAUGUUGGGUUAAGUCCCGCAACGAGCGCAACCCUUGUCUUCAGUUACCAAUAUCAAGUUAGGGACUCUGGAGAGACUGCCGGUGAUAAACCGGAGGAAGGUGGGGAUGACGUCAAAUCAUCAUGCCCCUUAUGGCCUGGGCUACACACGUACUACAAUGGCUGUUACAACGUGAAGCGACAUCGUGAGAUGAAGCGGAACACUGAAAGACAGUCUCAGUUCGGAUUGAAGUCUGCAACCCGACAUCAUGAAGCUGGAAUCGCUAGUAAUCGCGGAUCAGCAUGCCGCGGUGAAUACGUUCUCGGGCCUUGCACACAACGCCCGUCA